rnacentral:rRNA from 1 species
CCUACGUGAGGCAGCAGUGAGGAAUAUUGGUCAAUGGGCGGAAGCCUGAACCAGCCAAGUAGCGUGCGGGAUGAAGGCCCUACGGGUCGUAAACCGCUUUUGCACGGGGAUAACACCCUCCACUUGUGGAGGUCUGCAGGAACCGUGCGAGUAAGGGACGGCGAAUUCCGUGCCAGCAGCCGCGGUAAUACGGAAGGCUCGAGCGUUAUCCGGAUUCAUUGGGCGUAAAGGGAGCGUAGGCGGGCGUUCAAGUCAGCUGUAGAAUCGCGCGGCUCAACCGCGCCCCGCAGUUGAAACUGGACGCCUUGAGUUCACAACAGGCAGGCGGACUUCGUGGUGUAGCGGUGAACUGCAUAGAUAUCACGAGGAACCCCGAUUGCGAAGGCAGCCUGCCGGGGUGCGACUGACGCUGAGGCUCGAAGGUGCGGGUAUCAAACAGGAUUAGAUACCCCAGUAGUC